rnacentral:misc_RNA from 1 species
AGAUGUAAAGGAUAUCAGUCAACAGAGUAAUAAUGAUUCAUUAAUCUGCAAUAAUUUUCCACAAGAUCCAGAUUUCUUGUUCGACCAACAUGCAUGCUUAUGAAGUAAGCUCUACGUUUUCAACCAUAACUCUCCCACCUACUCUCCAUUAAACGUUUUAUAACAAAGAAGCAGAUCCACAUGAAAUCUUCUUACUUAAAGUUUGACAAGACCUCCCAACCAACAAGAUCAACCAACUUUCUACUCCAGAGAACGGAAGAAUAGUGGGCUAAAAUGGCCCAAUUUUCCACAUUAGAGAUCUAUAAUGAUGCCCACAAGAAGAGAAGCAUACAAUGAAUUGAAAA